AUUCAAACGCACACAGCAAUAAAUCUUAUGGAGAAUCUCUAUUAAUCCAUUUAAAACCUAAAACUGGCUACAUCAAAAGUGUUUGGGCAGUUUGCAAAUCCUAAAGAUGAUUUACAAGUUGGGGCAGAGACUGUCAUACGCUCUGGGUAACACUCACAGCCAGAUGCCGCGCUACAGUGAAAGAUUUACAAAUGUGACAAAAGGUCUUCUGUUUGUCCAUUAAUUCCUACAUAGAGUUUUAAUCCCGUUUACAUGAAAAGAUGUACUUAUUGUGUCCCUGACUAUUCCAAAUUUCUUUUUGCAGCAAACUGACAAACCGAAUAAGCCCAGGACACUGGAAAAUACUUGAAAAACAUGGUAAAGUGGAUUUCAGCAUUUUCUGUCGUUACAUUUGUAUUAGAAUUUUAACAAAUGUCUUCGUUAGUACUAUAUUGUAUUUUGCAGGAUGUUCCUCAACAGAUUGGUUCUGUGGACUGUGGUGCGUUCAUGUUGAUUGUUGUCACGGAUCGGGGAAGCAGGAGCAGGAAGACGGAGAAUCGGGAAACAAAGGAUUUAUUGGGGAAACCAGCUAGGAACACGGGGCAAUAGAAGUAGCGACUUAAAUGACAGGACUGGGGAAACAUAUUUUGACGCAGAGUUAAAUACAUAGGACUAAUGAAAACAACUGGAAACAGCGAAUGACAUCGGGGUUCCACACGAGGUUAACGAGGGGGCGUGGCACACGGGAGGAGCGGACAAGCGGCGCAUGACAAUUUGAGUUGGAGGGAUUUGACAAAAACAUCCUUGUAGAAAUGUGUGAGGAAGGUCAAGACUCUGGUCUCCAGCUCACUGCUCUCUGUUACAUUUCCAUGGCCAUGUUGUCCGAUAGUAUUAUUGGAUUUUUCUAUACUAUAGUUUUUUAUGUUUAAUUAUUGCACGCUAUAUGAAUUGUUAUAAUAGUUUAUUUUUCCUUUUGAUGUGUGUGUGCUUAAAAGUAUUAAAUAUGAGUAAUAGCAAAUACAGUUUCCUCAGUAAUGUAUUUCAUGAAAUGAUAUUUUCCCAACAAAACCCAUGUUUGCAUUCAAGUCUCUUAUGGUUUGUACAUAAUAUUUGCAACAAUUGUAAAUAUUUUGCAGAAUAUGUACUACAAGCCUCUGCAGUUGCAGCCGCACCCAUAUCCAAAUUCAUAUAUGAUAUAUUUGUAUAUGUGUGUUUCAACAUUCCUAAAAACCCUUAGGUUACAUAAUAUAUCCAAAUAUAGGGAAUUUCAGUAUGAGUCCUGAUGUAUUAUCCAUAAUGCUGUACUUGCCCUACACACGGUGAGUUUGUAAUAGAAUCUUAGCCAGUCAUUACUGAGUAGUUGUCACGUGUUGAACUCGGCAAUUAAAACCCCUUUUUGUAAAA